AACGAACGCUGGCGGCAGGCCUAACACAUGCAAGUCGAGCGCCCUUUCGGGGGAGCGGCGGACGGGUGAGUAACGCGUGGGAAUAUGCCCUUCUCUACGGAAUAGCCUCGGGAAACUGAGAGUAAUACCGUAUACGCCCUACGGGGGAAAGAUUUAUCGGGGAAGGAUUAGCCCGCGUUGGAUUAGGUAGUUGGUGGGGUAAUGGCCUACCAAGCCGACGAUCCAUAGCUGGUUUGAGAGGAUGAUCAGCCACACUGGGACUGAGACACGGCCCAGACUCCUACGGGAGGCAGCAGUGGGGAAUCUUAGACAAUGGGGGCAACCCUGAUCUAGCCAUGCCGCGUGAGUGAUGAAGGCCUUAGGGUUGUAAAGCUCUUUCAGCUGGGAAGAUAAUGACGGUACCAGCAGAAGAGCCC
rnacentral:rRNA from 1 species